AGCAGCCGCGGUAAUUCCAGCUCCAAUAGCGUAUAUUAAAGUUGUUGCAGUUAAAAAGCUCGUAGUUGAAUUUCGGGGUCAGUAGGUCGGUCGUGCCACUGGUAUGAACUGGUUUUACUGAUUCCUCCCUCUUGAAGAACUGUAAUGCCAUUAAUUUGGUGUUGCAGGGAAUCAGGACUGUUACUUUGAAAAAUUAGAGUGUUUAAAGCAGGCUUUAGCUUGAAUACAUUAGCAUGGAAUAAUGAAAUAGGACGUUUGAUCCUAUUUUGUUGGUUUCUAGGAUUGACGUAAUGAUUAAUAGGGAUAGUUGGGGGCAUUAGUAUUCAAUUGUCAGAGGUGAAAUUCUUGGAUUUAUUGAAGACUAACUACUGCGAAAGCAUUUGCCAAGGAUGUUCUCAUUAAUCAAGAACGAAAGUUAGGGGAUCGAAGACGAUCAGAUACCGUCGUAGUCUUAACCAUAAACUAUGCCGACUAGGGAUCGGAUGAUGUUAAUUUUUAAUGACUCAUUCGGCGCCUUACG
rnacentral:rRNA from 1 species